rnacentral:rRNA from 1 species
CAGUCGCCGCGGGAAUACGUAGGGCGCAAGUGUUAUCCGGAAUUAUUGGGCGUAAAGGGCUCGCAGGCGGUUUCUUAAGUCUGAUGUGAAAGCCCCCGGCUCAACCGGGGAGGGUCAUUGGAAACUGGGAAACUUGAGUGCAGAAGAGGAGAGUGGAAUUCCACGUGUAGCGGUGAAAUGCGUAGAGAUGUGGAGGAACACCAGUGGCGAAGGCGACUCUCUGGUCUGUAACUGACGCUGAGGAGCGAAAGCGUGGGGAGCGAACAGGAUUAGAUACCCCUGUAGUCCCUGUCUCUUAUAC